ensembl:snoRNA
UGCACGUUCCUUAGAUCCACCUCUGGGGAGUCCUCCAGUUCUGGUACUGCACUCACUCGCUCUGGGUGCUGCAGCUCCAGGCUGGAGGCUCCCAGCAGCUUUUCUGGCUGUACAGUUAGAGGUGCUUGAGUCAUUGGCAUGUGAGAGCAGUCUACCUGCUCCUCCAGCCCCACAUCUGCCCUGGCUCCCUCGCUGGACUGCACCAGGGCAGAAGAGCUGGAGGGCGGACACA